rnacentral:rRNA from 1 species
GACGAACGCUGGCGGCGUGCCUAAUACAUGCAAGUCGAGCGCAGGAAGCCGUCUGAACCCUUCGGGGGGACGACGGUGGAAUGAGCGGCGGACGGGUGAGUAACACGUAAAGAACCUGCCCAUAGGUCUGGGAUAACCACGAGAAAUCGGGGCUAAUACCGGAUGUGUCAUCGGACCGCAUGGUCCGCUGAUGAAAGGCGCUCCGGCGUCGCCCAUGGAUGGCUUCGCGGUGCAUUAGCUAGUUGGUGGGGUAACGGCCCACCAAGGCGACGAUGAAUAGCCGACCUUAGAGGGUGAUCGGCCACACUGGGACUGAGACACGGCCCAGACUCCUACGGGAGGCAGCAGUAGGGAAUCUUCCACAAUGGACGAAAGUCUGAUGGAGCAACGCCGCGUGAACGAUGAAGGCUUUCGGGUCGUAAAGUUCUGUUGUAAGGGAAGAACAAGUGCCGCAGGCAAUGGCGGCACCUUGACGGUACCUUGCGAGAAAGCCACGGCUAACUACGUGCCAGCCGCCGCAGUAA